ACGUGGCAGCUGUGCUGCUUGGGAGGCUCUCAGGAAGCAAAAUGCCAUCAAGAUUGAAGUGGAGCUGAGCAGCUCCUGCAGCCUCCCAGAAGGCAUUCAGGGCUUCUAGGAAGUCCCAGGGGAUUCUGGCUCAAAGGCUCUGGAGGUCUCCUGAGGAGGGUACUCAGACUCCCUUCACUUGAUGUGCUCAUCCCUACAGAGCAGGUAUGGAGGUUCUGAGGCAUUCUUUGGAAAAGGAUGGAAACAAGACAGAAGGGAUCCUAAUUCUCAAGUGUGGGAUCUGCUCCAGUGGGGGACAUCUUGGCUGAUGGUUUUCUCAGUGAGCUGGAUGGGAAUGAUCUGACACAGGCAACCAGAGAGACAGGAUUGUUCUGGGAAUGGGUAAGGAGAGGUGAGGGAGUGGAGAGCUAUGGCCCCCAGGGGCAGAAGCCCAGCGGGGAGGCCGGUUGUCCAGGAUAGCUCAACGAGGGUCCAGGAUCGCCCAGCGGGGGGUUCAGGCAGCCCAGGCAGCUAUAGUGAUUUGCAGUCAGCUCUUUAGUGAUUUCAGCUCUUUUAGCUCGCCUGGGGCCGUCACCCUGGGUAUCGCCGCAGCAGACGCAGAGAGAGAGAGAGAAGCGCUGUGUGGGUUCCGCAGGGUUCUUUAUUGGGGUCCCCGCGAAGGGUCCAUUGACAGCUCUCCUCUGCCGAACCGGGCAGAGCUAGGGGUUUUUAUACCUUACAGGGGGAUUGAAAACUGUCCAAUAGUAAGGGUCAGGGGAAAGUGACCUAUGGAUAUACAGAGAGAUAACAGGGUCCGAAAGGCGGAAGAGAGGGGCUUCUAAACCCUUAGUCAUGCUGACUUGGUAUUUCCUAGCUCAGGCUUCUGUUCUCCAAGGCCUUGCAGGCCUUGUGCCUGCUACAGAGAGUGGAAAAUUUUAAGGAGAGUCAACUGGAGCAAAGGAAAGGGGAUGAGAAAUUAAAAUAGGUUGAAAAAGGGGGCAGGGGGUGUCAGACCUAAACAGAAAAUAGCUGGGAAGGAGGGGGGAUUGUCCCCAAUGUGUGAAGUUCAUAAACCAACAAGGAGGGUGGAACUCUUUGAUAAUUCUCCCCAAUUUCCAUUUUGCAUCCCAGACUUGUGAACUCCCUCCACUGUGUCCUGAGUAAAGACCAGGGACAAAGCAGCAGAAAGCUACCUUCUGCCAGAGCAAGAAAACAGAAAGGCAAGUAGGAAUUGUGAGGAAACCCAUCAACCAGUAUGGGGAGACACCCAUCACACAUCCCUGCUCCCUCCCUAGAUCACAUGCUGGCAUCCAGGUCUCACAGCUUGUUCCACAGACGCUUCCAUUCAUCUCCCUGGGUACCACCAACAUCACAGUCUCCUUUCCUGUCUCUUUCAUCCAGAGGCUCCCCCUGCUCACUGAAGUCCCCAAAGCCACAUUGGCCUUCAAUACAACUUUUGCCUUCACUGCUGAGAAGCCUCAUGAGCCAUCUGUGCCCCAAAGCCUUGGUGCCCCAAUAGCUUGACCCACAUGAGUCCCUCCUGCAGAAGAGCCCCAGAGCAGGAAGACACCAUAACUGCAGUGCUUGGAAGCAAGAGCAAGAAAGAAAUUAUUUUGCACUUGAAGACCAGAGUUCUCCAAGAUCUUUACAAACACAACAAGUGUGAGAGACCCUUGUUGAUCUCCUGUAUUGGGGGGAGCACUGACUGAACACAAAAAAUCACUGGUACUCCAAAAAGCAAGAUGGGGCUUCUUUGCUGCUCACCUUCUGUUUGGCAUGAGCACGGUAACCAGUCUCCACUGGGUGACAGCCACCUGUGACUGUGCUGGGGGACUGAGCUGAGAGAAGGAGGGAUCUCACAUGGACAUCUCUGGGCACCUUUGAUUCAAACGUGCAAGAGCACUUGGAAGAGAAAGCCACUGCUUUCAUGUUUUCAGCAGGUGAAAGGUAAAAAUAUUUCUUAGAGCACCUAAGAUUGAGGUGAGUGGUGGUGAGGAGCAUGGGGACCUCUGCUCUGCCUGCAAUGGGUCUAGUAUUUCUGUGUUGUGUGAUGUAAAAUGGCGUGAAUUGCGAUCACUAUGGCUUUCCCAAACUACCUGUAGCCCUUAGGGAUAGCACUGUGUGGCAAGUGCUAGGAUAUAUCUAUAUACAUUUGGUUAAAUGUGUAAGGAAGAGGCUUAUAUAUGGUAUAUUACCAUGUGUUUCUCUGCUGCUGCCACAGCAACUUUUGAACCAUUUCAUCAGAAAUACAAAGCUCCUGCAAGAGUUCUAAAAACAGCUGGGGUGAUAGAGGGACCAUGUUAGUGCCACCAUGGCAGAAAAAGCCUCAGCUUGACCUUUAUUCUACAUCCAUGAAUCCAGCCACAUGCUAAGCACCUCUAGGACAGCUGCAUCCCAUUGCUCACACAACUAAUUGCUUCAUUGAUUUUCAUUUCUGGUGGCCGCAGUAGGAGGAGCCCAGCUCUUCUCAUCAAAGACUGCAGUUUCAUACUGCUCUUUUCUAGCGUUGUCCCUGCUCUCACUUGGCUUCCUUGCUGAGCACUUUCAGCUCCCCCUUCCCAGCUCUGCCUGUGCCCUGCUCCCUACAGAGAGCCAUGGGCUCCUCUACCAGCUGUCUUCUCACUUUCCAGGGAGACACCUCUUCUCCUUCACACUUUGCUAGCAGUGUGGUAUCUAGGCCCCCUCUCUCAUUAGUCACCCACAACAUCCUCUCUCAACUGUUGAUGCUUUAUAGCUUAUCCCUCCAUCCCCCCCAAUAUGCAAUUCCUAUCACAAAAAAAAACAACUUAGGAAUGAGACAAAUAAAUAUGUAUUAUUUCAAUAGGAGCCUUACAAACAAAAAGCUUUUGCAACAACUUCCCAGUCAGAACGACAGAGACUAUAGUAGGACAGAAAAACCUAAGAAACAUCAGCUGUAAAAUAUAUUUAAAAGCCUUUAUUCUUUCCUAUCAUAAUGUGGCAAAAGAAACUAAAUACAGGUUUCCAUUUGUUUAACUAAAAGCUGCCAUUCCUCAGUCUCUUUGAUGAUAAUGAUACCCAGAGUUAAAAUCAAACUGCAGCACACAGGUAGAAAACUUUGAGCUCUGUACCAACUUUGCACAAUGUAUUAUUAAUAGCAAGGUUUGUGAACCCAAACGCUCUCAGCUGCUGAGAGCAAGGGGAAACCUGACUGUGCUGGGCUCAUGGUUGAUGCUGAUAAAUGCAGCACACUGAGGAGGAAAAAGAAAAACCUGCACCUGAGGAUUGUUUGUAUUAUAGUAACCACUGGAUCCACUGUGCUGUGCAUGGGGAGAGACCAGUCAGGAGCGCAACAUCAAGCAAAGAAGUCAGAUAGGGGGUGGGAGGGAAAAAGUUUCAGCUGUCCCAUUCUGCUGACAUGGAAAGGAAACAAAGUAUGGUAAAGGUCUGGUACUACCCACAGGGUUACACUGGGGUAGUUCUUGGGUCACUUGUUGGGCUCAGAAUGACCAAAAGACCCUCCUGAUUCUCCAAAUCUGAAGCUGCAUGGCCACAAAACCACCCCUCAUUUCAGGGUGUCUGAUAACAGUUAUUCUAAUGCACCUUUUCACUUCAGCAGUUACUUGCUGCUAGGCCCUAGGUUUAAACUUCUGAGAAGCACACCCUGAAUUUACAGAGGAGCCACAUGCUCCCAAUGUCCUGUGAAGGCAGCUGAGCACAAGAGUGUUUUCUCUUCCCUCCUGUAGAAGCUGGCCAGAAAAUUAUCUGAUUCCUGACUUUUGUUCUGCAGUCCCACUUCCCUGGAGGACUAUCUGGUGCAGUUAUUUGAGGCAUGGGCUUCAUGGCCACCCUAUUGACUGUGAAGCAGCCUUAGUACCAUUAAUUUCCAGAAGAAGUUGCACUAAAAAAAUCAAUAAGGUCUGUGU